GUCAUAACAUUACCAAAUUGAAGAGAACUGCUCAGAAUAACAUCUCAAGCACCAUCUCAACCACACGUGCAAAUGAAGAGUGUUGAGAAGUAUCUGAACCUGGAGCAGUCUACACUAAACACCUGGCCACCUCUCAGGAUUCUCAAAAAGGUACACAUGCUGCAGCAUAAGGAGCAAACUGUUGGCAGAUGGCAUUAAAACACCACAGUUCCAUAAUUGAGUCUUAUAUUCAUACAUCCCUGCCAGUUUGGAAUCUAACUGCCAAUAAUACAAUACUGUGAUAUUGCCACAUCCAAUACAAUUGUAUGUUGCUGAAGUUACACUUAAAUCCGCCAGUAAAUUUUAUUCUCCCAGAGCAAAACAUUUUCUCUAUUCUGUUUACAAACAGGACUAUAAAUCCAUGUUCAGUAGUUCUAUUUUGAAUGAAAACUGAACUCUCCUCCCCAAAGAGCUCUCACAUAGUUAUUGACAGUGCCAGUAUGAAAACGCUAGGUUCUGUUUAUUUCAUUGCAGCAUUUGUUUUAGAUUUCUCUUACUAGAAUGCAAAAUGGCACAACUGACGUAGUAAAUGCUUUUGAAAGCCUGCUGAGCUAGGAGUAAAAUACGCAAGCUUUGCCAUAUUGAUUGUCUGAAGUCUACAAAGUCAGAAGACUUGAACAGCUACAGCGUCUGCUUCUGAAUCAGCAGAGGUAGUAAUUGUAAUCCAAG
ensembl:lncRNA